AAGUUGGAGGGUGGAGUAAUCGGAAGCAAACGCUGAAGCUAAACAGAAAAUGAAAGGAUAUUUGUUCAGAGAACCAUCGAGGGUAAGAACAAUCGAGCUGGGGGACGGUAACGAUAAGGGCAAAGGAGAAAAAAAGUCAGAGUGAACAGUGAGGCCAUGGAAAGGUAAGAAAUGUACCUGGAACAGAAAGAUGAAGAAAGCAAAUCGCGUCCAGAACUCAAUACAGAUAAACAACAACAAAAUCAGCCAAAGGGACCUUGCCCCCGAAACUGCCUAAGAGAGUGAGAAAGAGAGGGGGAAAAAAAGGCACCGAGCAUACGGAAAGAACAGAAAGUGAAGGAAGGGAGAAAGGAAAGGAGACAAAUUAAACCAAACAAGAAAUAUAAAGAAGACAUCGAGCUCCCUCAGAUUGUAUUGUCAGAGAAGAAGCCAAGGUUUGAUGGGUGGAAACCUUGUCAUUUUCACCUUUAAAUCAUCUCCUGGCGUCACCUCUGCCUGAUGAGACCUUUGAAAUGAUGGACCCAUCAAAAAGGAUGCCAUUCUCCAGAGCAGCUAAAACUAAACUGAGAUAUUGUGUUUUUUACCAGUUGAAGAUCUAUGGGAACCCUGAAUUGAACAAGUCUAUCAACACCAUUUCUUCAAUAACACUUGCUCACUUCAUGUCUGUGUGUCACAUUACCAUAAUUUUUGAAAUACUUCAUCUUUGUUCAUUAUUAUUAUAUUUGUUAUGGGGAUCUGUGAUCAGUGAUCUUCAAAGUGACUACUGUAAUUCUUUGGGGCACUGCAAAUUGUGUCUAUAUAAGACAACAAAUUAAUCAAUAAAUGUUGUGUGUGU